rnacentral:rRNA from 1 species
GCUUACGGCCAUACCACCCUGAGAACGCCCGAUCUCGUCUGAUCUCGGAAGCUAAGCAUGGUUGGGCCUGGUUAGUACAUGGAUGGGAGACCGCCUGGGAAUACCAGGUGCUGUAAGCU